AGACCUAAUUUUUAUUUUUGCUGCAGUGGUUGCCUUUACUCCUUGUCCCCAAAAGAAUAACAGAAUGUCAUGAUGUCCCCAGGGGUCCUCACACUUCUGCCUACAACUGGAUAGAGGUUGAAGGUAGGGUGACCUGGUGUCCCACUACCUUUGCAUUGCAUUGCACAGCAUUUUGACCCUUUGUCCCGCAUAUUGAACUCCAAAUCUACACAAACAUGUUAAACACCAAACUUACUCAAACUUUGCAGAUAUGGUCAAAGUUAUCUUUUUAUAACUUGCAUAUUGCAAAAGCUGUAGCAGAUAAGGUAAAGCUAGCAGGCAACAUCAUGGCUCAUCAUAUCUUUCAAAUAGCAAAAGCUGUGGCCUGUAUCUUUUAGGGCCUAACUAGUGUGCUGUGGAAUAGACUAGAGGACGAAAUAUAGAUGUUUACAAGCUGAAAGGCAGAAUACAAAGGUUUCUUAUUCUGUUGUAGACAUUACAUCAAAGUGUUGGCAUUGGUAGCAUAUCCCACACGGUCCCACACUACUGCCACUAGCUAUCAAGCAACCAGGAAUUCCUCCAUUUAUUAAAACACAUCAAUUACAUUCUUACAGCCAGCUUUCUGAAAUACUAUUCAACCUUUUUAACUGACAACAGAGAUGUUUGCCAACUCUUUUGACAUAUGUGUGUUAGUAAACUAGAGCACAGAUUAUAAAUUUGCAUUAAGAAAUGCCACAGAUCCAUAUCAAAUGCCACCACCACAAGCAAUCAGUCUCUAACUCAUCAUGCCUGAGGAAUUAACCAAUUUAAGCAGAAACCACUCUACUGACAUACAGUAUGUGUGGCUCUUUUCUAUGAAUUGUGCUCUGUGUGUCCCAACACUAUUACUGUUGGUGUAGACUGAUGGUUUGUUGUUGUUGUUGUUAUUGUUAUUGUUAUUGUUGUUUUAUGUUUCAGUCUUCCUUGGAGUGCCUCACUGGUCCAAUGCAAACAGUGUACUGUAUAUUGGCUAAUAGAGGUGUGUUUUACCCCAAGGCACACACAGUGUGCUGUAUAUUGGCUAAUAGAAGUGUGUUUUACCCCAAAGCAACCUGCCCUUUUCUGCAUGGAAACCAGUAUUGUAUAAAAGAGCACUAUGUUGGGUUGCCUCUCUAUCCUUGACACUGUCAAUUUUACACUGCACUGUUAAACAUUUCCUGUGAAAACUACAUUAAGUUAUUGGCAGUUAUUGGUCAGUAAUUCUUUUUUUUUUUAUUUUAUUGUCCGUUUUCACGAAGAUGCCUGCUGUAAAAAUAAAGGUUUACUUUACCUCCA
rnacentral:lncRNA from 1 species